UGGGGAAUCUUGCGCAAUGGCCGAAAGGCUGACGCAGCGACGCCGCGUGCGGGAGGAAGCCCUUCGGGGUGUAAACCGCUGUCAGGGGGGAAGAAACCCAAGGGUUCGAACAGGGGCCUUUGGCUGACGGUACCCCCAGCAGGAAGACGCCGGCGUAACUCCGUGCCAGCAGCCGCGGUAAGACGGAGGGCGCGAGCGUUGUUCGGAAUUACUGGGCGUAAAGCGCGCGCAGGCGGACGGUGCAAGUCAGGGGUGAAAUUCUGGGGCUCAACCCCGGAGCUGCUCUUGAUACUGCCUGUCUAGGGACCGGUAGGGGCCGGUGGAAUUCCCGGGUGUAGCGGUGGAAUGCGUAGAGAUCGGGAAGAACACCCGUGGCGAAGGCGGCCGGCUGGGCCGGAUCCGACGCUGAGGCGCGAAAGCGUGGGGAGCAAACAGGAUUAGAGUACCC
rnacentral:rRNA from 1 species